GAGUUUGAUUCUGGCUCAGGAUGAACGCUGGCGGCGUGCCUAACACAUGCAAGUCGAGCGCGGUUGUGCUUAGUAUUGAGUGUUUUAUUGAUAUAAAACAUUGAAUUCUAUGCACAACUGAGCGGCGGACGGGUGAGUAACGCGUGGGUAACCUGCCCUAUACACAUGGAUAACAUACUGAAAAGUUUACUAAUACAUGAUAAAAUAGUUUUUCGGCAUCGAAGAAUUAUCAAAGUGUUAGCGGUAUAGGAUGGACCCGCGUCUGAUUAGCUAGUUGGUGAGAUAACUGCCCACCAAGGCAACGAUCAGUAGCCGACCUGAGAGGGUGAUCGGCCACAUUGGAACUGAGACACGGUCCAAACUCCUACGGGAGGCAGCAGUGGGGAAUAUUGCACAAUGGGCGCAAGCCUGAUGCAGCAACGCCGCGUGAACGAUGAAGGUCUUCGGAUCGUAAAGUUCUGUUGCAGGGGAAGAUAAUGACG
rnacentral:rRNA from 1 species